rnacentral:rRNA from 1 species
AGAGUUNGAUCCUGGCUCAGGNNAANNANNGGNGGCGUGCUUAACACAUGCAAGUCGAACGAGANCAGNNAANAAGCUUGCUUCUUAUCGAUUCGAGUGGCAAACGGGUGAGUAACGCGUAAGCAACCUGCCCUCUAGAUGGGGACAACAGCUGGAAACGGCUGCUAAUAUCGAAUACGUUCUUUCUGUCNCAUGGCAGAAGGAAGAAAGGGAGGCUCUUCGGAGCUUUCGCUGGAGGAGGGGCUUGCGUCUGAUUAGCUAAUUGGAGGGGGUAACGGCCC